rnacentral:rRNA from 1 species
ACGGGUGAGUAACACGUGGGCAACCUGCCCUCAGCUUUGGGAUAACUCCCGGAAACGGGUGCUAAUACCGGAUAUUGACUUUUCCCCGCAUGGGGUUUGGUUGAAAGUUUUUUCGGCUGAGGAUGGGCCCGCGGCCUAUCAGCUUGUUGGUGGGGUAAUGGCCUACCAAGGCGACGACGGGUAGCCGGCCUGAGAGGGCGACCGGCCACACUGGAACUGAGACACGGUCCAGACUCCUACGGGAGGCAGCAGUGGGGAAUAUUGCGCAAUGGGCGGAAGCCUGACGCAGCGACGCCGCGUGAGGGAUGACGGCCUUCGGGUUGUAAACCUCUUUCAGCAGGGACGAAGAGUGAUUGACGGUACCUGCAGAAGAAGCACCGGCCAACUACGUGCCAGCAGCCGCGGUAAUACGUAGGGUGCAAGCGUUGUCCGGAAUUAUUGGGCGUAAAGAGCUCGUAGGCGGUCUGUCGCGUCGAAUGUGAAAAUCCGGGGCUCAACUCCGGACCUGCAUUCGAUACGGGCAGACUAGAGUUCGGUAGGGGAGACUGGAAUUCCUGGUGUAGCGGUGAAAUGCGCAGA